rnacentral:lncRNA from 1 species
GUCACUAGCUGUGGGUAGUAAGUCCAGUUAUAAAACUUCCUCCCUUCCACUCCAGCCUGGACGACAGAGCGAGACUCUACCUCAAAAAAAAAAAAAAAAAACAAACAAACAAAAAAAAUUUUCUCUCUUCUUCUGUUGGAGCAGAUCUCUGAAUGCACUGAUACUGAAGAUGCCUCCAUUGUAUAAAAUUGUUCUCAAGCACCUUAGUGGCCAUUUUGAGCCUCAAAGCUCCAAGGAAGCUAAAGGUUUGCCACUUUAAGAAUGGAACUAAGAUCUGCAACUACAGCUACUCCAAGAAGAUAGUGGCCAUGGACCUCCACAGGCAAAGGCCAAUAGUGUGCCUGGGAGAUCCCUUGCACUUCUGCAACAUUUAAGACUUGAAGAUAUUGGCUGGGAUCUGGAGACAGUCCAAGCCCUGCAGGCUUGUGUGCACUCUCAAUAAGCAAUGAAAACUGUUACUUGG